CCACUCGGCCACUCCCACCGUUCUCACCAGUCAGCACUCAGCAGUCACCCCGACCCCCUCCGGCUGCUUCACCUCCCGAUCCCCUGCCCGAAACCCUAACCCUAGCCGACGAGGAUGCCGAAAGCUGGCGGCGGCGGCGGCGGCGGCAUACGCAUUCCGCGCCGAGGUGGAGGAGCGCCUCAUCAACGAGGAUUGCGAGAUCUGAAGGACAACACUCGGCUUCCUCUACGGCCUCGCCGUCGCCCAGGCGCUCGAGCUCGAGUGGCCCCUCCCCUCAUCGUGCGGUGGCUCCCCGACUGCGACGAGCCGCGGGGGAAGGGCCACUCCUUGCAGAAGAUUGGCGCGCGCACCUCCGGCGACCCAUCGACCUGAUGCUCGCGCAGGUACAGCGGCCCAUCGACGACGCCUAGGGUGACGUGCUCCACUACGACGACUACCACGCUGACAUCCGCCGCGCCCGUCUAAGCUGCAGAGGGAUGAAAGUGAGACUAGCAGCCACUUGUCCGGACACUUUCCCUGAUGGUGUGAUGGACCAGAGGGAUAUGUUCAUCGACGCCUUCUCUGAUGUUACUGUUAGACUUGUAUUGCCGCCUCCAUUGAUGAGCUACUUCCAAAUCCAGCCUACCUUGCUGCAGACCAUAGUGGAGCCCUAACUCAUACCGUCACAAAGAUAUCCAAUUCAUAAAUAAAUCUGUAAGUCCUUUAUGUGUUGACGUUUGGAAAGACUGGUAAUAAGAAGCCUUUGACUCUCUUUACUUUAAUAAACAUUUCUUCUUUCCAAAAGGUUGGUCAUCUUGGAAAACUAUUGUUUUAUCAAUUGUGCACCCCUACCGUGUUAAGAUGGUGUGCAUUUUUUGGAUAGUUUGCUGGAGGCAAUGGAAUAUGCAUAUAGCACAUGGAGGAGAAUCUGGAUCAACAGAUCAAGGAGGAUUACAUUGCUUGAAAGAGCAUGCUGUUUUUGUAUGAAUUGAUAUUAUCCAAGGGCUCGAUCAGCAAGCGCCAACCGAAAGCGUUGAUGAUGGGGUUGUACAGGAACAAUGUGUGCUUGUAGAGGGAUGAAAUUGAGGCUAGCGGACACUUCUCUGAACACUUUACCUGAUGGUGUGAUGUACUCCUUGAAACCACUCUGGAUUAGUCAGUCUAGCACCUUGGUGCUGCCACAUCUGAUACUGUUGCAUUGCUGGUCCCUGCACUGUCCAGGCUCACUUCUGCUCAAAGGAAUAAGCACUUGCCCAUCUUGAUCAUCAUAUUGGGGGCAUCAAGUCCAUAAUACUAUCGGUUUUGUCGCACUCCAAAGAGGAUCUUCUAUGAGUACGAUGAACUGUUGGGCACGCACGGAAUGUCGGAACUUCAAUUUUAGCUGCCAGAUUGAGCAUGUGUUUAGCCAAUUGCCACAUCAUGUGAAUUGCGCACGCAAUACAUGAUCUGCUGAAAUCAUUGUAAAAAAGAUAUGUGCUGUACGCUAUGACAUGCGAUAUUAGUUAUUUUCAAUCAAUCAAAUUUAUUGCACUUGGGUCAAGAAA